GAUGAACGCUGGCGGCGUGCCUAAUACAUGCAAGUCGAGCGAACAGACGAGGAGCUUGCUCCUCUGACGUUAGCGGCGGACGGGUGAGUAACACGUGGAUAACCUACCUAUAAGACUUGGAUAACUUCGGGAAACCGGAGCUAAUACCGGAUAAUAUAUUGAACCGCAUGGUUCAAUAGUGAAAGACGGUUUUGCUGUGACUUAUAGAUGGAUCCGCGCCGCAUUAGCUAGUUGGUAAGGUAACGGCUUACCAAGGCAACGAUGCGUAGCCGACCUGAGAGGGUGAUCGGCCACACUGGAACUGAGACACGGUCCAGACUCCUACGGGAGGCAGCAGUAGGGAAUCUUCCGCAAUGGGCGAAAGCCUGACGGAGCAACGUCGCGUGAGUGAUGAAGGUCUUCGGAUCGUAAAACUCUGUUAUUAGGGAAGAACAAAUGUGUAAGUAACUAUGCACGUCUUGACGGUACCUAAUCAGAAAGCCACGGCUAACUACGUG
rnacentral:rRNA from 1 species